AUUGAACGCUGGCGGCAGGCCUAACACAUGCAAGUCGAACGAGUGGCGGACGGGUGAGUAAUGUCUGGGAAACUGCCUGAUGGAGGGGGAUAACUACUGGAAACGGUAGCUAAUACCGCAUACCAUCAGAUGUGCCCAGAUGGGAUUAGAUUGUUGGUGGGGUAACGGCUCACCAAGGCGACGAUCCCUAGCUGGGCUGAGAGGAUGACCAGCCAAACUGGACCUGUGAAACGGUCCAGACUCCUACGGUGGGCAGCAUUGGGAAAUUUUGCACAAUGGGGGCAAGCCGGAUGCAGCCAUGCCGCGUGUAUGAAGAAGGCCUUCGGGUUGUAAAGUACUUUCAGCGGGGAGGCGUUACCCGCAGAAGAAGCACCGGCUAACUCCGUGCCAGCCGCCGCGUAAUAC
rnacentral:rRNA from 1 species